rnacentral:lncRNA from 1 species
UGAAGGUCUGCAGCUUUACUCUUGAAGCUUAGCGAGACCACUAACCCACCAGAAGGAAGAAACUCCGGACACGCCGCCUUUAAGAACUGUAAUACUCAGUGCGAGGGUUCACGGCUUCAUUCUUGAGAAAGACAACGAGGAGGGAGCAGCUAGAGGGGUGGAAAUGGGAUCACGUGACCUUGCGAGAAGCAGGGAGAGAGAACACUGCGUCUGCUCCCUUUUAGAACAGACCACGUUCUAGAAUUGUAGAAUCCUG